GAUGAAGAACGUAGCGAAAUGCGAUACUUGGUGUGAAUUGCAGAAUCCCGUGAACCAUCGAGUCUUUGAACGCAAGUUGCGCCCGAAGCCACUAGGCCGAGGGCACGCCUGCCUGGGCGUCACACGCCGUUGCCCCCCCAUCUACUCCUUCGGGAUUGCGGGGGGGGCGGAUGAUGGCCUCCCGUGCGCCUAGCCGCGCGGUUGGCAUAAAUACCAAGUCCUCGGCGACGCACGCCACGACAAUCGGGGGUUGCGAAACCUCGGUUGCCCGUCGUGUGCGUUCGUCGCGCAUCGNGGGCUCGAAAAAAUGCUCGGCUCCGGCUGGGCUUUCAACGCGACCCCAGGUCAGGCGGGGUUACCCGCUGAAUUUAAGCAUAUCAAUAAGCGGAGGA
rnacentral:misc_RNA from 1 species